rnacentral:tRNA from 1 species
CCUGGGGUAGCUCAGCGGUAGAGCGUCCGGCUUUUCACCGGGAGGGCGCGGGUUCGAUCCUCGCCUCCAGGU